AUGGAAACGUAAACAACCAGUGAAACUCGGUGCACGAUCGGCGUUUCUGCCAAAUACCGAUAAAACCUACUCAUAUAAUUGAUGAUCAUAGGAUUUUAACCAGAAUUUUAGAGUGGACAUCGUCGCUUUUCGAUAUUAAUCGCAAGGAACUCGGCCCAGAAAUGUUCUUGACAUGAGCAAGAGAAGUCUAUGGAGUCAUUUUACCCAAAAGAAUAGGAAGAUCGGCCUGGAGGUGUACCUGACUUGGACAUCAGCAAAGCAUCUUAAGUGUCACCUGCUGUUUGCUGAGUUGGCGUCGCAGCACACAGCAGGAGGAAUCGCUCCUUUUUCUCAUGAUUGCAGGAAUGAAU